AGAGUUUGAUCAUGGCUCAGGACGAACGCUGGCGGCGUGCUUAAUACAUGCAAGUUGAGCGGAGCCAUUGAUGAAGCUUGCGAUUCAAUGGUCGAGCGGCGGACGGGUGAGUAACGCGUGGGCAACCUGCCCUCUAGUCUGGGAUAACAGUUCGAAAGGGCUGCUAACACCGGAUAAGCUCACGGAGAGGCAUCUUUCAGUGAGAAAAGUUUACGCUAGAGGAUGGGCCCGCGUCCCAUUAGCUAGUUGGUGAGGUAACGGCUCACCAAGGCGCCGAUGGGUAGCCGACCUGAGAGGGUGACCGGCCACACUGGGACUGAGACACGGCCCAGACUCCUACGGGAGGCAGCAGUAGGGAAUUUUCCGCAAUGGGCGAAAGCCUGACGGAGCAACGCCGCGUGAGGGAAGAAGGUCUUCGGAUCGUAAACCUCUGUCUUCAGGGACGAUGAUGACGGUACCUGAGGAGGAAGCCACGGCUAACUACGUGCCAGCAGCCGCGGUAAUACGUAGGUGGCGAGCGUUGUCCGGAAUUACUGGGCGUAAAGGGCGUGUAGGCGGCCAUUUAAGUCAGAUGUGAAAUACCAUGGCUUAACCAUGGGACUGCAUUUGAGACUGGAUGGCUUGAGGAUCGGAGAGGGCAGUGGAAUUCCCAGUGUAGCGGUGAAAUGCGUAGAUAUUGGGAGGAACACCAGUGGCGAAGGCGACUGCCUGGACGACACCUGACGCUGAGGCGCGAAAGCUAGGGGAGCAAACGGGAUUAGAUACCCCGGUAGUCCUAGCCGUAAACGAUGGGUACUAGGUGUGGGAGGUAUCGACCCCUUCCGUGCCGCAGUUAACACAAUAAGUACCCCGCCUGGGGAGUACGGCCGCAAGGUUGAAACUUAAAUGAAUUGACGG
rnacentral:rRNA from 1 species